GUGUGUGUGUGUGUGUGUGUGUGUGUGUGUGUGUGUUAUUCCUUACCCAUACGUCCGUUACUCGUAGAUAUUCGUCGCGAUUUCCAUGUAUAUGCUUACAUUCGCUCGUGUCAUUGGCAUAUAUAUGAUGUACACGCGUGAAAGAGGGCAUUCAAGUCAAGCAAGAAAAACGACGAGAAAACGAUCAAAAUAUUAACUUUUUAUAUAAAAAAAUAAAUUGCUUUCCAUGCUUUCGACAUAUCUGAAUGAUCUUUGAUGAACAGGUAAUACCGAAUCUAUAUAUUCCGAAUCUUUAUAUUUUUAAUCUCUUCGAAAACGAAGAGAUUAUUUGGUUUUAGAAAAACAUAAUUUUAUCAUAUAUGAUCAGUUGUGAAAAAAUUGACUUCUUUAAAGUUAAUUAAAAUUUGGAAAGGGCUCAUUGGGGAAAAAGUAUCGAGAUUAGAAUUUAGCUAAUCAUAGAAGAAAAAAUAAAAAGGUGAUUUUUUUGAACAUAAAGAUAAGUUAUUUUUAAAAUUUAUUAAGACAACAGUAAAGAAUUUAUAAGUACUGUUUUUAAUCCUUGCUUUUAAAUAUGUUUGGUUCAACAUUCUAUAGAUUUGUUUAUGCUUUCAGAAAAAAAAUAUUUUUGAUUGAUCUCAGCUCACGCAUGCAACGUUCCUUUCACAUUUUGGUCGUCCACAUGUUGCUGUCCAUGAUGAUGAAACACCUGAGAUUUGAGCAGCCUCCACAUAUAGUUCUGGCUUUACUUCCUUGGAUUAUUAUUUAUUUGAUGCUUUGAGAGGAUUGAUUAAUUACUGACCAAAAUAUGAAAGAAGCAGUACAUAUGUGACUGAGAGACCAAAAA